rnacentral:rRNA from 1 species
GAUGAACGCUGGCGGCGUGCCUAAUACAUGCAAGUCGAGCGAACAGACGCGGAGCUUGCUCCUCUGACGUUAGCGGCGGACGGGUGAGUAACACGUGGAUAACCUACCUAUAAGACUGGGAUAACUUCGGGAAACCGGAGCUAAUACCGGAUAAUAUAUUGAACCGCAUGGUUCAAUAGUGAAAGACGGUUUUGCUGUCACUUAUAGAUGGAUCCGCGCCGCAUUAGAUAGUUGGUAAGGUAACGGCUUACCAAGGCGACGAUGCGUAGCCGACCUGAGAGGGUGAUCGGCCACACUGGAACUGAGACACGGUCCAGACUCCUACGGGAGGCAGCAGUAGGGAAUCUUCCGCAAUGGGCGAAAGCCUGACAGAGCAACGCCGCGUGAGUGAUGAAGGUCUUCGGAUCGUAAAACUCUGUUAUUAGGGAAGAACAAAUGUGUAAGUAACUAUGCACGUCUUGACGGUACCUAAUCAGGAAGCCACGGCUAACUACGUG